rnacentral:rRNA from 1 species
AUUGAACGCUGGCGGCAGGCUUAACACAUGCAAGUCGAGCGGAGAUGAGGUGCUUGCACCUUAUCUUAGCGGCGGACGGGUGAGUAAUGCUUAGGAAUCUGCCUAUUAGUGGGGGACAACAUUCCGUAAGGAAUGCUAAUACCGCAUACGUCCGACGGGAGAAAGCAGGUGAUCUUAGGACCUUGCGCUAAUAGAUGAGUCUAAGUCGGAUUAGCUAGUUGGUGGGGUAAAGGUCUACAAAGGGGACGAGCUGUAGCGGGUCUGAGAGGAUGAUCCGCCACACUAGGACUGAGACACGGCCCAGACUCCUACGGGAGGCAGGAGUGGGGAAUAUUGGACAAUGGGGGGAACCCUGAUCCAGCCAUGCCGCGUGUGUGAAGAAGGCCUUAUGGUUGUAAAGCACUUUAAGCGAGGAGGAGGCUACUGAGACUAAUACUCUUGGAUAGUGGACGUUACUCGCAGAAUAAGCACCGGCUAACUCUGUGCCAGCCGCCGCCGUAACAC